AUCCCAGUGCACGGGCGUUUUCCUUCUCCGUGAAGCGAUAAGCUGAGAGAGGAAUUUUGCUAGUUGAAAACUACAACAAGACCACUCCUCGUUGGGUUCGCCCGGCGAGGGAAUUUUUAGACACUUUCCAUGCUUUCAUUACGGCUCGGUCCCUUGAGGACCGACGUGAAGAAG
rnacentral:snRNA from 1 species